rfam:Stegodyphus mimosarum contig69329, whole genome shotgun sequence.
GCUUUCGUGGUGUAGUUGUCAGCACGCUCGACGAAUAUUCGAGGGGUCCGUGGUUCGAGUCCCGGCAAGGGCA